rnacentral:rRNA from 1 species
AUGCUACCACUACCCGUCCACCUAUCCUUCAUGCACGGCCACUACUGGGCGGGCAUGAAGGCCAAGUGGAUCAUCCUCAUCCACGAAUCCGGUAGUCCGUGGCGUCUCGUGGAUAUCUACACCCAGCGAGAGAUCACCCUUCCAUCGUUGGAUACCGCCGCCAUCGAGCCUUGUGGCCCCUCCUCCAGCUCCCGGAGCAGAGUUGUGGAGGAGGAGGGAAUCCGAACAGGCCUAUACUCCAAGAAGGAUUGGCCGGUGCUGCCGGCUGGCGUCAAGUUCGAUCCCACAGAUCAGGAGCUGAUCGAGCACCUUGAGGCCAAAGUGAGUGCUGACAGCGCGAGAUCUCACCCUCUGAUCGAUUUGUUCAUACCAACCAUCGACAGCGAGCACGGCAUAUGCUACACCCAUCGUGGGAAACUUCCAGACGGGCAGCAAAAAGGUUCUGGUGUUGCACACCAACAAGAACUUCGACCAUUCCCGCAAAAAAAGAACUUCGACCAGCAGAGGACCAACUGGGUGAUGCACCAAUACCACCUCGGGGACCUGGAGCAAGAGAAGGAGCAGGAGCUGGUCCUCUGCAAGAUUUUCUACCAGACGAACACUAGGGCCAGGACUAAAAAGAUUAUAAGUUGGUUUGGUAUUGGUACUUGUACUACCUUGUCAUCCGCAAGUUGGUAUUGCUGUUAA